rnacentral:rRNA from 1 species
UACGUAGGGUGCAAGCGUUAAUCGGAAUUACUGGGCGUAAAGCGUGUGUAGGCGGUCUCGCAAGUCCGAUGUGAAAUCCCCGGGCUCAACCUGGGAAUGGCAUUUGGGACUGCAAGGCUGGAGUGUGGCAGAGGAGACUGGAAUUCCCGGUGUAGCAGUGAAAUGCGUAGAUAUCGGGAGGAAUACCGAUGGCGAAGGCAGGUCUCUGGGCUAACACUGACGCUCAUGCACGAAAGCGUGGGGAGCAAACAGG